rnacentral:rRNA from 1 species
UACGGAGGGUGCGAGCGUUGUCCGGAAUCACUGGGCGUAAAGGGCGCGUAGGCGGCGCGGGUAGUCAUCGGUGAAAGUUCAGGGCUCAACUCUGAAUCGGCCGGUGAUACUCCCGUGCUCGAGCACUGUAGAGGCAGGUGGAAUUCCGGGUGUAGCGGUGGAAUGCGUGGAGAUCCGGAAGAACACCGGUGGCGAAGGCGGCCUGCUGGGCAGUAGCUGACGCUGAUGCGCGACAGCGUGGGGGAGCAAACAGG